AUCACAGGUGAGAGAUGUGUGUGAAUUCUGGAGGCAAUGCCAAGUCUGUCAGAUUUCUUGAUUACAAAGACUUUUAGAUUAUUUACUCCGAGAAACUAAGGAGUAGAGAAUCUCUAUCCCGGAGGACUCAAAUGCUUGCAGUCAGAUUAUGGGAUGGGCUUCACUUCAAUUGAAGGUAAUGAAGAUCAUCUCUUCUGAAGAAAAAUUGGCUGGAUGCACUUCCAGUCUGGGCCUCACAGUCAUCACUGAGGGGAACAAAGUAUGUGGAAACACAUCUAGACAACUACCCUUACUAAUUGCUGCAGCUCUAAGCUUACCAGCAGCCACAGCUAUUAAAGACUUUGGAAAGAAAUUUUAUCACCAGAAUGUCUAUGAACAAUGAGAAAUGGUUCACCAUCAAAACCAGACAUAAUUCAAUCAUAGUAAAUGUCACUAAAGAAGAUGCCCCAUCUACCGUGCUUCUGGACCAUUAGGACUAUUGCAUCUUUUCAUCUGGCCUGCAACUGUAACUGUGUUGUCUCAUCCUGUUAGAAUGUGAGUUUCUUGAGAGCAGGGAUUGUCUUGCUUUAUAUUUGUUUCUUUGCACCUAGUAAUAAGUUUUCCUUUUUAUGACUUAGAAAAGAAUGUGGUAUCAAGAAAAUCUGCCCUUUCCCUUUAUCCAUUCUUUUCAUUUCAAUGACAUUAAUUUGGAACAACCCUUUCUAAGAGAUAUUGUCUUCAUUGUCAUCAUCAACCAUUAUCAUUGUUCUUCUCCCCCUUCUAAAAGAAGCUUUACAAGAGUUUUCAGCUUGGAGCCCUCGAACUUAUUCUUUUGAUUUUAUAUAUGUUGACAACUGUAGUCGAAUAUAAUUGGUUUCCCUUGUAAUACAAAUAUUUUCUUUUAUAUAUUUUUAAAAUACCCCAAUAUCCUCUCCCCCACACAGAAGGGACAUCCUUCUCCAGUACAGUACAGUGGGAUUCUCCAGUAUGCCAAAGGGGUCCAUGACAUUAAAAUGGUUAAGAACUGUGUUCUAUAAUAGAAUAGCAAAGACUGGCAUCUUAAAGUCUGCAAAAUUCUUUAUCUAUGUGGCUUCAAUUGAGCGUCACAGCAGUUUUGUGACAUAAUACAUAUAUAAUACAUAUUAUAAAAUCUCCAUUUUGCAGAUAAGAAAACAGAGGCUUAGAUUAAAUGGCAGGUCUAAGAUCACAGAAUUAUUAGUGCCAGAAUGGAGAUUGAAAUCCAGAUAGGAUUCCAAGUCCAGCUGUCUAUCCGUUACAAUAUACCGUUUUGCCUCUAAUCAUGUAUAAUAAUAAUAAUAAUAGCAAGCUAAGCUCCCAAUUCACAGGUCUCUUGCAUCAAUCAUCCUUCCUCGUCCACUCUGUGGCUCUCUUUUGUUUGAUGCUUCUGAAGGAUGCAAGUUUUUAUUCUCGCUUCUAAUGUGCCCACAUGGAAGCAUCAGGCUGUCCGCUUGAUGCCUUGCUUCUCCUCUGUCUGUCUGUGUGGCCCCUUUUGUCCUUUCUCGCCUCUCAUUUUCUCUUUCUAUCUCAGUCCUUUCUCUCCCAUCUCUUCUUGCCUGCUUUACAACCAGGCCCUUGUGACGAGGCGAAGGACACUUGGGAGACUCCGCUUUAGCUGCACCAGGCACCCACCCCAAGCGGAGGCAAUUUCCAGUUCUCGAUAACCAGACUACAAUGGAAAAGGUCAGUGGUUUCAACUGGCAUGGGUCCAGCCUUGCUCCUAAGUACUAAGACCUAAAGGGCUGACACCUAGGCUUGAAUACUAGGACAAAAUUCCCCUGUGUCACAACCAAUCAUAAGUGCCGUGGGGCACUGACCCCCCCCCCCCCAUAUAUAUAUAUAUAUAUAUAUAUACCAAGGCUAUACUAGGCCUUGACCACUAGCCCACACCUCCUUUAGACAUAGGUCACAAGACUAAGCCUGCCAUGGCCUUUGAAGCCCACCUCAUUAAAAGCAAUAGGCCUGAGUGAUGGAGUGAAGUUCAUUUGGGGGCAUGACCGCUAAUCUCCCACUCUUUUGGGUACUCAUCAUUAAGCACCGACUGGCCUCUAGAGGGGCCCCGUCUUCUGGACCUCAUCUUCACUAGGUCUCAAACAUUAAGCUACUAAGAACUCCCAAUCCCAAGUAGCACCCCUCCCCCAGGCACGGACGCCCAGCCAGGCUAUCUGGGAUUCUGGAAUUCAAGCCACACUUACGUGCUCCCUUUACUUACUACAGGCCGUCGUUGCCCCAAUUUGCCCCAUUUCUGGGCCAAAUUUCUACUAGCCUUCCCUCUGCUUGGCCCCUGUCGAUGGUCAGCUGGGCCUGUCCCCCGGCUCUGGCCUCAGAGGCAGCGCCACGACUUCCCCAUGACUUAGAUCUUUGAGAAAAAAAUCACGGUGCAAGAAGAACCCCAGAGCACACCUCCAACUAGUCUGGAUAAUCAGGCAACAGUUCCACCAAACUAAUACAACAGAACCAUGCCGCUAUUAGGUCCACUCGCCAGGCGGAGGGCCCCGGGAGCUCUGGCUACCAGGCUGAGCCUGCACUGAUCUCUGACCACUAAAAUGAGGCUCAAUCUCGGUUCUAACACUAGACCCACACCAUGCAGAAUAGAGAAGUUCUAUGGUGUUUAAAAGACAUCAACUCAUACACCAUUGGGGAGGGGGUAAUUAUUGUCGUGUUGUAAGCAAUUCUGUCACCAAUGAAAACAAUUGAAAGUCAUAUUUGUAAGCGGAUCCUCUGGCAGAAGAGGGGAUAUUCCACUCCUCAGCCCAGUCAAAACAUGUCAACUAGUUAUAUGGUCUGUUUAUUUUGUGUCUCCUGGAUCCCAAAUGGCCACCCUAUGUUAGGGGAAGGAAAUGUCCUUCUCCAGUACAGUUGUUGGCCAUUCCUUCAUCUCUGCAUGGUUCUGAAAGGAGUGGGGUGAAUUUUGUUCAAUUGUUUCACCCAAAGGAGAACUCCACUUUUAGCCAUUUUAGCUAAGAUUUCUCUCAGGCUCUCUGAGACAUGUGCUUGACUCCAUCAUGCCCAGUGGUUGAUGGCCACAAAUCUGGCCCAAUCUCAAGACAUUUCGUCUCAAUCCCUCUCAGAGUCAGAAAUAAUUGGGUUCAAGUUCUACCUCUGAUACAUACUUGUUGUGUGACCCUAGGUAAGUCAUUUUAUUUCUCAGUGCCCCAAGUAACUCUCUAAGACUAUAAAUUGCAGAAUAGUUGCCUUCCUGGGAACUCAGCACACAAAUGACAAAAAGGCCAUAGUUAUCACCUGGGGAUAUCUACUGUCCAAAGGAAGCCUGAUAUUGGAGGAAAGGUGAUAGAACAAAGUAAUGUGGUAAGAAGAAGAACUGUCCAAUUCAAAGGAUGGUUAUCAACACUGAAUUGGCCUGGUGACAAAAGUCUUUGAGAAGGACCUGGACCAAGGCUGCUGCUGAAGAAGAGACCACAAGAGCCAAAAAUGUAUUGCAAGUAAGGGAAAACCAGCUCAAUAGUUGCCUUUAGGAAUGGGGAGUGGGGGUUUGAAAAAAAUAAUACCUAACAUUGACCAGCACCUAUGAAGUGAGAGUUUGGGGAAAAUAUCUCUGCAUAUAAAGAAAAAAUUGAGAGUAAAGGAAUAGGACUAUAAAGCUGUAUCCACGGAAAUCCUCAGCCUGUAUUUAUUUAUUACCCUCCUUUCUGGCCAACAAAAGGACUGCUCUUAUACCGAAGGAGACCUCCACUAGCUGAGAGACCAAACCAAAGACAAAUUCAUUUCCCCAUCCAAUCACACUGUAUCUUUAUCAAAUCCUGUGACUCUGAGGCUUACAUACUCCUCCCUCCCAAAACACCAUCUUAUUUCUGCUGUAGACACUGUGAAUUGGCCGGAUGCUCUAAGUGAGCCUAAAAAACUAGUCAAACCCAAUUGUACUCUAAGGAGGUGAAGCUGCUACCAGCUUGAGUAGGCUUCCUCAAUACCUUAACACAUUUCUUUUCCAUUUAGUGUGGUCACUCACUUUCUUUAAAACCUAGCCUUAGAGAUCUGGUACAGAUGGAGUUGGUUGUGGACAGAUUCUCUGUGGACUCUCAAGGAACUGAAAGCUGUGAAAACUGCCACAAUAUCCCUUAGUUUCCAAAGCAGUUCCUAUCUAUUGUUUCUUUAGAUCCUCACAAGGCAUCCCUGGCAUAUAUCAACAGCACGAUUAUCUCAUUUAACAGAUAGAGAAAUCUUUCAUGUUCAAUAAAAUUACUUUGCUUUACACUUUUAGAAACAUGUUCCUGAAAACCUUUGAGAUAGUGAAUAUUUUCUAGAAUAAGGAAACUGAGAUGCAGAGAGGCUGAAUGACUUUCUCAGUAUCAGAGGUAUGACUGGAGAAUAAUAGAACUAGGAUGUAGAGGAAGGUUAUUAAUAUUUAAAGGGGUUAAGUGACUUUCUAAAGGCAACAUGGCCAGUGAAGGAGCAGAAGAAUGAUUCUUCUUCUGAGUAAUCAUGCCUUCUUUCCUGCCUUGUGUGGUAGGGCUAAAUGAGAAAUAAACUCUCAGAACCAAUCCACCAAAACAAAUUCCCCACAUUAGCCAUGUACAGAAAACACUCGUCUCCAUAUAAUAUGUUAUCUAAAGCCAGUUCUAACACUGAUUUUGCAAAAUAAUCUCACAAUAUUUUCUUCGAGACUCCAAAAUAGAUCCCCCCAAAAGGAAUUUCCUAGAUUCUCAAGUCAAGGGUGAGAGAAGAAAUUUCAUUUCUGAGAUUGUGUGACAAUCCUUUAGGAAAUUGGAGAUGUGAAAGCAUAUAAAAAUCCUCUAUUUUUUAGCGAACUGAAAAGGUUAAGAAAUAAAUAUGACUCUAGUCUAAUAAAUGUAUAUCUGUGGAGGAGACAGACAUGACUCUUGUAAGUUUGGGGGAAACAUCUUCUCCCUAGAUAAAAUAAUUUCUGAGGCCAAGGAAAUAGACGUAUGGGUUUGAUAUUUUAUUUCCCCCGUUAUUGGUGACAAUAAGAUGAACCAAACUAAUUCUAUCUCAAAGAAGGACUCUACCACCUUAAGAGAUAUACUGCCAAAAAAGGGAUAUUCUGAUAACACAAACCAUGGGAAAAUGCAUGUUCCCACAGGAACAAAUCUGACUGUUAGCAAUUCCUGUGACUCUUUACUUUUCUGCCACAGAAUGCCACUGUUUGGCUGUGUACUCUAUGACAACCUAAAAUCCUAUAAAAACCCAAUCUGAACCCUAAGAGGCUGAAGCUACUACCAGCUUGAAUCAUCUUUCUUAUAAACUAAUGAAUUUAUUUUCCUUCCAAUUUGGCUACUCAUUUUAUUGGACCCAGGAUGAAUUUGUUCCUGAGUUCUCAAGAAAUGCAGUCUAGGAAAUUCAUCUAUGCUUGUUUGGGCAUUUCUCUGAAGCAGAAAUGCUUAGAUUUAGAAUAACGUUAGAUUAAAUAAAAUUCUUUCAGGCAGACCUAUAACUGAAAUGCAGAAGACGGUAUUCAGGUUUGUUUUUUUUUCCUUUACAAAAGCAAAUUGUAUUUUCAUAAAACCAGGGCUAAGAAACACUAGAGAGUAGCUAGACCCUCUUCUAAAUCUACCCCAUUUCCCUUUUCUGUCACCCAAACAGUCAUGCUAGUGACUCGGCAUUCUGCCCAACUCCAAAAUGUCUUUUACCAGUAGGAGCUAUAAAGAGCACAGGCACCAGAAUAUUUCAAAUAUCUCAAAACUGAAGCAGUCCUUUUCCUAAUAGCCUUGGUGGCUAGAAGUUUUCCUACUUAGGGGAGACGAAAAGACUAAUACUCCGGUAGAAAAACACAAUCCUCUCAGGAGAAGCUAUUUCUCUGAAAAGACUGAUUUAGAAUUUAAUUGUCCUUCGUCAAGAGAAAUACUGAGUCUGAUGCUGAAAGGAUAUGAGGAAGCAACAAAAACUCCUGAGAAUCAGAAAAUCCCAUUUUUCAUAGAACUAAAAGUCCAAGCUCUUUUUAUUCCAGGUACCAGGAGAGUCCAUAGGAUAAGGUUCACCUCUUACAUCUCUGUUUAUACCAACUGGCCCCAGAAGAUAAUGGACAGCAGAUUCUCCAUGAUGUCUCAGUGACCUCAUGUCCUAUAUGUGGUCUGAUACCACAAGGCUCUGUCUUGCUAUAUGUGAACAAGGAAGUACAUUUUGUUCCUGCUCCUCUUCAGGAGCCUUUAAGUUGUUCCCUGGUAUCCUUUCAGCAUCAAACUCAGUAUUUCUUUUGACAAAGGACAAAGAAUGAGAUCCUGUCCCUACAGGUCACCUCUAUUACACACUCCUCUUUUUAUGUGAAUAUUGUUCUGUUUGCCACAUCUCUGAGCACUUACAAGGACUUGUAAAUAAUGAGGUACUUCACAUCUCGAUAGAAAUUAAUAUUAAAUCCAGAUUUCUUUUUGUGCUAAGAUAUGGAAUCCAGAUCUUCAUUUUGGAGUCUGGGGAGCAAUAAAUAGGGUCCUUUGAGAUCAGCCCCAAGCCAAACUUUCUCUCUUUGAACAUUUCUAAAUUAUACCAAACUAGCCAAUAGAGGAAAUUUGCUCAGCAAGAGCACAGGGGUAGACGUAAAAGUGCCUAGAAGCAAGAGGGAAGCAAGCAUUGUGGGAGUAGGCCCUAUUUAGCAUUCCUCAACAUCAGGAAGCCUCUGGGAUCACAAGUUGUAUGGAAGAAUGCUAAUAGAGAAAUUAGGUGCCCUCCCAGCAACCAUGAUCAACAGAGGCAGGUAAUAAAACCUUCCUGAAAAAGGAAUCCGAAAAAUACUUGUCUUAUCCUGCCGGGGUCUUAGAAGAAGUCAGAGGCACAAUCUGAGCAAUCCAGCAGGUUCAUACCAUCAAAAUCAGAUAUAGGUCCCACCAGAAAAUGAUCUCAUUAAGGUUUGUGUUCUCUUAAGAAUUACUGAGGAAGUGAAGAAAAUCACUCCCAAUCUUUAUAUGAAAUGCAA